UACGGGGGGGGCAAGCGUUGUUCGGAAUUACUGGGCGUAAAGGGCUCGUAGGUGGCCAACUAAGUCAGACGUGAAAUCCCUCGGCUUAACCGGGGAACUGCGUCUGAUACUGGAUGGCUUGAGUUUGGGAGAGGGAUGCGGAAUUCCAGGUGUAGCGGUGAAAUGCGUAGAUAUCUGGAGGAACACCGGUGGCGAAGGCGGCGUUCUGGACUGUAACUGACACUGAUGAACGAAAGCCAGGGUAGCAAACGGG
rnacentral:rRNA from 1 species